GUGUGCUGAGUCGUCAGCAUGACUGCAAGCCUGGCUAGCUCCAAGGAGACAAAUACUCAAAUGGGAGUGCUAAAUUAUGCCUGACACCUCAAUGAA
rnacentral:lncRNA from 1 species